rnacentral:lncRNA from 1 species
GCCAGGGGACUGGUUGGCUGAUUGUAGGAAAGGGCAUUGAAACAGAGGGGAUUAGGGUAUUGAGCUAUAUUAAAGAACAAUUGAAGAUGUUGAAUGUUAAAGAAAAAAAGUCCAGUCUUCAGAAAGACAGAGAAGGUUACUAAAAAGUUAACAGGAAGGGAUGAUGCCAUUAACAUAAAGGAAUACAGUCUCACAAAUAAACCAUCUCUUUUUGAGAUGUGGUGGAGAAACAACAUUCUCAGCUGUUCUUGCUCUUUUGCCUUCUGCUGACUUGUUGCAGAUGGAUACAGAGACUGGAAGCUACAGUUCAAGGUGACAGAGCCCAAAAAAGGUAGAGCUGGGGUCCUCCAACCACUGUUUGAAUGACAACUUCCUGCUUGAAAAUUUAUGUAAGCAAGAUAUCUACUUCUACUUGAGUGUGUGUGUGUGUUUGUAUAAAUAUA